rnacentral:sRNA from 1 species
UGUCAGCUUUCAGUGUAGUGAGAUUAUUCCUGUAGGUUAUGGGGUAUAAUUCAGGAUUUAACUAAUGUUUCUGCUAUUUUCUCACUUUUCCUUUUGAUGGUGCGGAAAGAGAAAAAGGAAAACGGGGCACAGGCCAUUCGACGCCUUCUCCAAGGGGUCUGAUUUGCUGAGACACCAGCUUCACCUUCUUAACAAGGCACCUAAUUACAACAAGCAUGCACAUUUUGGUGCAUUCAAGAAUGGAAAAUCAGAAUAGCAGCAUUGAUUCUUCUGGUGGGUUUUGCUCCAUUUAAAGACAUGAAAUGAACUACAGCCAGGAAGGUGAUAGAUGAUAUAAUAAGCCACCUCUGAACCUACACCCCGUCUCUUCACGGUUUAGACUUACUAAAAUAAAUACAAGGUGCAGCUCAGUGGAAGAUGAUGACAACCAGAAGACAUGAGCUAAGGGUAAGGGACUGUUCUGAAGAACCUUUCCAUUUAGUGAUCAAGAUAUGGAAGCUGAUUGCUGAAAAUGCUCAGUGUAUACUCUAAUUAUUUAUGGUACCAUUUGAAUUGUAACUUGCAUUUUAGCAGUGCAUGUUUCUAAUUGACUUACUGGGAAACUGAAUAAAAUAUGCCUCUUAUUAUCA